AUUGAACGCUGGCGGCAGGCCUAACACAUGCAAGUCGAGCGGAUGAAAGGGGCUUGCUCCUGGAUUCAGCGGCGGACGGGUGAGUAAUACGCAGGAAUCUACCUAGUAGUGGGGGAUAACGUUUCGAAAGGGGCGCUAAUACCGCAUACGUUCUGAGGAAGAAAGCAGGGGAUCGCAAGACCUUGCGCUAUUAGAUGAGCUUGCGUCCGAUUAGCUAGUUGGUGGGGUAAAGGCCUACCAAGGCGACGAUCGGUAACUGGUCUGAGAGGAUGAUCAGUCACACUGGAACUGAGACACGGUCCAGACUCCUACGGGAGGCAGCAGUGGGGAAUAUUGGACAAUGGGGGCAACCCUGAUCCAGCCAUGCCGCGUGUGUGAAGAAGGCC
rnacentral:rRNA from 1 species